UCGCGGGCAUGACGUUGGAAGGACGUCGCGCGUUCCCCGCUUACAUAUUACGCGCACCGAAAAAAAUCGAAAGAUAAAAUUGAAAAGAUUCGCAGUGCCGUGAAGUGAAGUACCAAAACUGUACUUGUUACCUUAUCGCAGUGCGUCAAUUUUUUUUACUGAUAAAGUGGUGUGGCAAAGAUUUAAUUGAUUAUAAGUGAAUUUAUAGAAACAAAUUAAGUGUUUUAAGUUUGAUGGUUUUUCUAUUUCAUCUUUGGACCCUUCCAUCUUUAGUUUUUCACCUGCAAUAUUGCUGUACUGGAGAAAAUGUAGACGACUGGUCUUCUCAUCGUAAAAAA